GAAUGGCCUUGAGUUUGAGUUCCUGAUGCUUGAGCGGGAUUUCAGGCCUACAUGGCACUUGGCCACUUGUAAAGCACUUUCACCGGCCUGUUGUGUGCACAGCACAUAUGUUUCACCUGUUAUGUGCACAGUUAUGUGCACAGCACUCCUGCUGCUUAGCUCUUUGCUCCUCUUUAGAGAUGAGCAUGCUUGAGAGCUAGGAUCUUUCCCUGGGAAUGGGGUGGGUUAGUCAAUGCCCCUGGUGUCUCCCCCCCGCCCUCCCGCUCUCUAUCUGUGUCAUACCAUUUAUUUGUCUGUCCCAGGCCACCUGAUUGUAUUUUAUAACAAAUGGGGGAUGAUGUGACAUAUUCACCCCAAGUCUAAACUUUGUCUGUAGACUCACAAAACUGAAGGUUAAAGGAAUGUCAGUGGUUAGAGAAGGAAAUGCAUGGCACAUUUUAAAUCAAUAAAAAUCAAGAUGCUUGACUGAUAGUGUGCCCUAGACAUUACCCAUAUUAAUGGAGCAGGGCAGUCACCAUCUGGCUACUCAUGUGAAUGUUUGAGGAAAUCCUUAAAUGCCUGGUUCCAACCAUCUAUGUGGAUGUCCAUGUGAAUUUGGUCGACACUUAAUGGUAAACAGAAGCAGAAGUGAUUUGCUGCAACUUCUAUCCUAUAAAAAUGGUGUAUCAGAUGGGUAUGGGCCAUAAGAUCACUAGAAGCUGAGGCAGGAACAUGACUCCAUGUGCAAGGUCAGCCUUGGCUACAGGGUGAGACCCAGCCUAAGGCACCCACCCACCAACCCAUCAACCAACAAAUCAGUAAGAUAGCUCUCAUAUUUAGCCCUGAAUCAAUAUAUACCUUCUCUCUUUCUCCCCCUUCUUGCACAUAAGCAUUUAGUGACGCCCAUAUAAGAUACUGUGUGCACACACAAACAUGAAUACCACCUAAGUUUGACUUCUCAGAACUUUACAAUGCCGAGUUGAGAAAGAUGAGCUUGAAACUACAUGGAGUGAUGAGGGCCAAGAACGUUAGAAGAAGCAAAGAGAGAGGCAAAAAGCCUUGUCACAGAGAACCUUGACUUCCGUGCUGAGGAAAGCGAUUUCCUGACUUCAGAGCUAAGGCCUCUAAGAUAUGUACUGUGAAAGAUCUGAUUGAAACUUCCUCUUGAAAAGUGUUAAAUCAGAAUGGUUGAAGCAAUUUACACCAAGAUAUUAGUCAAUAUAAUCAAUAUAUUAUAUUAAUCUCUGGAUUAAUUGUUCUGUGAUAUCCCAGGGUGUCUGUGGUCCUAUGACCUAAGAUCUGUUGUGAUUUUUAUAGGGGUCUGGGGUGAUCGCUAAGCUCUAUGGAAUGACAUGAUGGAGAACUAGCUAUGUGCUUUCCAAUCCACCAUGAGCUCUCAGAAGUUGGAAAUGGCUGGGAGUGACCUUGAUUGAGGCUUAUCAUGAUACAGGGACUCUGUGGACCUGCUCCAGGUCUCUGUAGUCUCUCCCAGUCUUCAUGAGGCUGUUACCUCUGACUUUUGGGUUGUUUGCAAAACUACUUGAAGAAUUAGAAAAGUUAACACGUUCGGACAUCGUGAGAAAACUGCUCUGUAAAAGUUGUCUUCAUGACCGCAACCCACGCGUAAGUGGUUGAUUAAAGUAGCUUCCGUAGAGCCCCUGGUGUGUGGUUCACAGAACCCAGUGCACUAACCUUUCCCUCUGUCCCUUGGUGACCGACCCUCGCUCUAACCCCACUCCCUCUUCCCAUAGUGGCUAGUCACACUUUCCCUCUGUGUUCCCCUUCAUCUGCCUCAGCCAAUCUCCAAAUGAAUGCGUGUCUAUCCCGGCCUUGGCUUUGACACUCUGGAUAUAUUGAUUAAUAGUUGCCCUAAGCUCCUUUUAGCAAAUCAAAUUUUCACUUUUAGCAAGGAUUUCGCCUCUGAUUUAUUCAGCAAAGUGAAAUGCACUAAAUUGACUUUGACAUUCAGGGAAAAUGGCAGAAAAACAAAGAGCCCAGGAAAGAGAUAUAAAUUGUGUGGCAGCUGGAGACUUCAGGCACCAGAGAAAUGGUUUUCUAGAGAAUUCCAUGUCAUUUAAAAACACUUUUUAAAUACAACAGUGACUUAUUUAAUUUGUUUUUAACUGUUGAGUUUUCUUUUAGGAAGAUGUGUGAGCUUGGAAUUUCCCAUAUUUGUUUUUGUUGUUGUUGUUAUUUAUUUCAUAGGCAAGUCCCACUGCACAGUUCAGGGAAGACACUAGAAUGUUCGAGUUCACCACUCUGUUUUUUAUAAGAUAACUUGAAUAUUUCUCUUCCAAAGGAAUUUCACAUUCCUGGCUUCCAUAAACUCAUUUUUAUAUGUUUCAAAGCUAUAGUAGAGAGAGAUAGAUGAUACAUAAAUGAUUGAUAGAUGUUAGAUAGAUAUAUAGAGAUAUAUAGAUGAUAGAUAGAUGAUAGAUGAUAGAGAGAUAGAUAGAUG
rnacentral:lncRNA from 1 species